rnacentral:rRNA from 1 species
GUUUGACCUCAAAUCAGGUAGGAGUACCCGCUGAACUUAAGCAUAUCAAUAAGCGGAGGAAAAGAAACCAACCGGGAUUGCCUCAGUAGCGGCGAGUGAAGCGGCAAGAGCUCAAAUUUGAAAUCUAGCGCCUUCGGUGCUCGAGUUGUAAUUUGUAGAGUGAUCCUUGGGGCCGCUCCUUGCCUAUGUUCCUUGACAGACGUCAUGGAGGUGAGAACCCCGUGUGGCGAGGGGUGCGGCUCCGUGUAAGGCUGC